rnacentral:rRNA from 1 species
GACGAACGCUGGCGGCGUGCUUAACACAUGCAAGUCGAACGAUGAAGCCGGAGCUUGCUCUGGUGAAUUAGUGGCGAACGGGUGAGUAACACGUGAGUAACCUGCCCUUGACUCUGGGAUAACUGCUAGAAAUGGUAGCUAAUACCGGAUACGACCCUCGGAGGCAUCUCCAGGGGGUGGAAAGAAUUUCGGUCAAGGAUGGACUCGCGGCCUAUCAGCUAGUUGGUGAGGUAACGGCUCACCAAGGCGACGACGGGUAGCCGGCCUGAGAGGGUGACCGGCCACACUGGGACUGAGACACGGCCCAGACUCCUACGGGAGGCAGCAGUGGGGAAUAUUGCACAAUGGGCGCAAGCCUGAUGCAGCAACGCCGCGUGAGGGAUGACGGCCUUCGGGUUGUAAACCUCUUUUAGUAGGGAAGAAGCGAAAGUGACGGUACCUGCAGAAAAAGCACCGGCUAACUACGUGCCAGCAGCCGCGGUAAAAC